rnacentral:lncRNA from 1 species
AGACUCUAAUAUUCUUAAUUGCAACUCUUAAAAUACAUUUUAGAAUAUAAAUAUUUUGGGUUUUGUGUUGUAUUUAUUUUCUAGGGUUUCUCUAACAUAGUACCACAAACUGGUGGUCUAAUACAACAGAAAUUUAUUAUUUUACAGUUCUGGAGUCUACUCCAAAAGCAAGGAAUCAGCAGACCUGCACUUCCCCUGAGGCUCUGCAUGGAAUCCUGCCUUGCCCCUUACUGGCUUCUCAUGGUGUCCAUUGAUCUUUGGCAUUCCGUUGCUUUUGCAGCUGCAGCACUUCCUCUCUACCUCAGUUGUCACAUGGUAUUCUUCCUGUCCUGGUGGUGAGUGCACUUACUCAGAUGGAGCCUAGACGGUUUGUGAACACUGAUUCUGCUCUUAUGGAACCUCUUGGUACUGGCACUGAAUGGUGUGCCUUAAAGUGAAGCCCCUGUCACCUUUGAUCCACUCCGAGUGGGGUGGGAUGACCUCUGACCAAGCAUUUCAAUGGGUGAUCUUUGGACGAGAUGGAAGAGUGAACUGUUAUCCUGAGUUAGGUAUGUUGCGCUUCCUUCAGGGCUCACAGAAUGUGACUGACUAGACAAACUAGGAGAGCCUGCUAGACUUACAGCAGCAGUUCCUUCAGGAAAUACUGUCUGUAAAUAAAA